AAUGAUCUAAAUUUCCGAGCAGAGGACAGGGAGAGGAAAUGCGGCGGCUCCCAAUUUCUAUCCGAUUCACAAUCCUUCUCUCUCUUACAAUUACAACCCCAGUUUCAUCUUCACUCUUCUUCAGCAAAUCACCCUCACCUCCCGUCCCAAAAGCCACACCCUCCGAUCUCCUCUCUCUCCUUGGUCCCACCUCCCGCUCCUCCUCUGUCAACCCUCUCGUUGCCCAAGAGCUCAAAUCCUGCUUCAAGUUCCUUGUUCCAUUUACCCCCCGCAAAGAAUUUGAACGCUUCUCCAUUAGACGCAGCUUGAAUCUUGAAAAGAAGCUUAAGAGUCGAAGGGACGAAGAGAAUGAGCUCGUAUGGUGGCCCCCGGAGGCCGUUCUUGAGCUGGCUCGGCUCGCCAUUGAUUCUGGUGGCGACCCUGAUGCCAUUUAUCAAGCUCUUGACCCUACCAUGUUGACUGUACCUGAUGUUGAAGAUUCAAAAGAAAAUCGAUGUGAGUUAACUAGAACACCAUACGGGAGACACUUCAUAUGUCAGGAAUUGAAUUCAUAUCUCAAGUAUUUAUUUGAACUUAUUGUUGCUCGGGCUCCCGAUGCUGGGUUAAGUGUGUCACUGAAUCGCUAUGAUUUAUUUCACGGUCACCUCUUUAUUGCCACAGAAACCAGAAGGCUUGGUAUAUUAUUUCAUGCUAGAGAAUACCCAGCAUAUGACAAAGAACGGUUUCCAUAUAAUAUGGGUUAUUGUCAGAAAGGGUCCAAUGUAACAUACGAUGAUUCAAUGAACUUGCGAAAUAUUCUUUGGCUUGCCCCAUUGCCAAGCAACUCCGCAAAAGGUUGGCUGGCCGCAGGGGUGUUGGUUGUGCUGGAUGCCCGCCCUGAUGGAAUUAUAUACAGAGAUCUCAUACCAGAGUAUGUAAAUUUUGCAAGGACCAUAUAUGAAGAUGAUCUGGGGAUUGUUGCAGUUGAUGUCAACUACUUGAACAUUGGAAAAACUGUGCCUGAUUACCAGAUUUUUAUUUGCUAAGACCCAUCUCAAACAAGGCAGCAAUUCUAACUUCAAAUUCGGUCUAGUUGGUGAUCUCCAAUAUGGUGAGAGAAACCAACUUUUCGCAUAAUAGAUGACGACUUUAGUUCCGUUGAUAUGGUGAAAAACUUAGCUUUACACUUGUAGGUGGCAACGUGAGUUUGCUGAACUGUUGAUGUGGGUUCUAUGGUCGAAAAAUUAUUCUGGUGGAACACUUGGCUUUGGGUUUAGGCUAGGCUUCUUCUUCAGGGACCAAUGGCUCCUCCUAAUGGUGAUACGAAAAAAGACUGAUCCAAAGGCACAAACCUUGAAGGCUGCAAAGGCCAUGAAGUCUGGACCAACCUUCAAGAAGAAGACCAAGAAGAUUGAACAUCUGUUACAUUUCACCGGCAGAAGAAAUUGAAGAAGGGGAGGUACCCAAAAUACCCUUGCAUCAGUGCUCCACCAAGGAACAAGCUUGAUCAUUAUUGAAUUCUUAAGUAUCCCCUCGCUACUAAGUCGUCCAUGAAGAAGACUGAAGAUAACAAUACUUAGGUUUUCAUUGCUGACAAGAAGAUAAAGGCUGCAGUCAAGAAGAUGUACGAUAUUGAGGCCAAGAGAGUGAAUACGGUGGAUGGUACAAACAAAGAAGGCUUAUGUUAGGUUGAAACCGGAUUAUGAUGCAUUGGCAUUAUUCAAGAUGGUAGCUCUUUUCAUCACAUUUUCAUAUUGUUUCAGGCCAAAAAGUAAGACAGUGUGCUGAUCCCCGGGCUGGGAAAUUAUCAGACCUCACUUCUAAGUCAUCCAUGAAGAAGAUUGAAGAUAACAAUAAUUGGGUUUUCAUUGCUGACAAGAGGCCAAGAAAGUGAAUACGUUUGAUGGUACAAACAGAGAAGGCAUAUGUUAGGUUGAAACUGGAUUAUGAGGCAUUGGCAUUAUUUAAGAUAGUAGCUCUUUUGAAGGAGUAAGACUGUUGAUCCCCGGGCUGGGAAAUUAGCAGGUUGAUCCUGUAAACUUGUUUUUACGCCUGACCCAAGUCCAAUUCUUCAGAAAAUAAUUUUCAAAUAUAAACGGAAAACAUGUUCCGUUGCCGGGAAUCGAACCCGGGUCUCCUGGGUGAAAGCCAGACAUCCUAAGCGCUGGACAACAAUGAAUUGCCCGAGAGGUUUAAAAUGGAAAAAUAAUAAUUAAAAUAUAAAAAUAAUUAAAUAAAAAAGAAACACGAGCACCCUUUGGUUUUAUUUCUAUCGUCACUAUAAAUUCCAGAUGCUAAACGCGACAGCAAGGUUUCUCCGCCUACAGGAGCUGCUGGGACCCACAGGAUGGAAAGUUAAUUGGUGUUUGGUGCUGAAGGGGAAGAGAGAGAAAGGUGCUGGCGGUGGCAAAUAAAAACUGUUGGAUUUGGUGUAGAAAAUGGAGCUAUCAAAGUCAGGGUACAAGAGGGCUUGCGGGAAAAACUGGUGAUUAUGUUGCUUCAUUCUAACUUAUCAGUGAUGAGGCACAACAAAUGCUUUGCACAGCAGCAUGGAACUUUUUGUGUCUAUUGUCUGCACAAAAUUCUGGUUUAGACACUACAGAAGGAAAAAGUUGUGCCACCACUGUUCACUUGGUAGAAAACCAGAGAAGAUAUGUUGUCACGGAUAAAAGAUUUGGCAUUCAGCCUCCAUUUUCUUAUUUAGUUUUUAAUCAUUUUGGAAAUGUCAAGUCUCAUAACCAAAAGAAAAUUGCAAGUCUUCCUCAUAAAUUCCUCUUGUAUGGAAAUUGUUCAUUUAUAUCUCAUUGCUAAAUUUGUGUGUAUAUAUUAAACAAUUUGUGAUAAGUGGCCUUACUCCUGGCCUUGUCAGUAAACAUAGAGGCUAUUCAUUUCUUGUUCA